rnacentral:rRNA from 1 species
GAGUUUGAUCCUGGCUCAGAACGAACGCUGGCGGCGUGCCUAACACAUGCAAGUCGAACGUGAUCCAGAGCUUGCUCUGGUGAAAGUGGCGCACGGGUGAGUAACGCGUGGAUAACCUACCCUGGUAUCCGGGAUAACAUUCCGAAAGGGGUGCUAAUACCGGAUAAGCCCACGGGCUCUUUGGAGCUUGCGGGAAAAGGUGGCCUCUAUUUAUAAGCUACUGUAUCAGGAUGGGUCCGCGUACCAUUAGCUAGUUGGCGGUGUAACGGACCACCAAGGCGACGAUGGUUAGCUGGUCUGAGAGGAUGAUCAGCCACACUGGAACUGAGACACGGUCCAGACUCCUACGGGUGGCAGCAGUGGGGAAUUUUGCGCAAUGGGGGAAACCCUGACGCAGCAACGCCGCGUGAGUGAUGAAGGCCUUUGGGUCGUAAAGCUCUGUCAGAGGGGAAGAAAUGAUAUAGUGCUAAUACCACUUUAUCUUGACGGUACCCUCAAAGGAAGCACCGGCUAACUCCGUGCCAGCAGCCGCGGUAAUAC